CCUGACUGCUAUCGGAUUGAUACUAAGCCAUGUGAGUCAUUGUAGCAAUACAAGGCAGACGGCUCAGUAACACGUAGUCAAUCUACCCUAUGGACGGGGAUAAUCUCGGGAAACUGAGGAUAACACCCGAUAGAUCAUAAUUCCUGGAAUGGUUUAUGGUCCAAACGAUUCGUCGCCGUAGGAUGGGACUGCGGCCUAUCAGCUUGUUGGUGAGGUAAUGGCCCACCAAGGCUAUUACAGGUACGGGCUCUGAGAGGAGAAGCCCGGAGAUGGGUACUGAAACACGGACCCAGGCCCUAUGGGGCGCAGCAGGCGAGAAAACUUUGCAAUGUGCGAAAGCACGACAAGGUUAAUCCGAGUGAUUCCUGCUAAAGGAAUCUUUUGUUAGUCAUAAAACCACUAAUGAAUAAGGGGUGGGCAAGUUCUGGUGUCAGCCGCCGCGGUAAAACCAGCACCUCAAGUGGUCAGGAUGAUUAUUGGGCCUAAAGCAUCCGUAGCCGGCUUUGUCAGUUUUCGGUUAAAUCCAUAUGCUCAACAUAUGGGCCGCCGGGAAUACUACAAAGCUAGGGAGUGGGAGAGGUAGACGGUACUCCGUAGGAAGGGGUAAAAUCCUUUGAUCUAUGGAUGACCACCUGUGGCGAAGGCGGUCUACCAGAACACGUUCGACGGUGAGGGAUGAAAGCUGGGGGAGCAAACCGGAUUAGAUACCCGGGUAGUCCCAGCUGUAAACUAUGCAAACUCAGUGAUGCAUUGGCUUGUGGCCAGUGCAGUGCCGCAGAGAAGUCGUUAAGUUUGCCGCCUGGGAAGUACGUACGCAAGUAUGAAACUUAAAGGAAUUGGCGGGGGAGCACCACAAGGGGUGAAGCCUGCGGUUC
rnacentral:rRNA from 1 species